rnacentral:rRNA from 1 species
ACAAGCGGUGGAGUAUGUGGUUAAUUCGACGCAACGCGCAGAACCUUACCUAGACUUGACAUCCCGGGGAUCUUCUGGAAACAGAGAAGUGCUUUAGCAAUAAAGAACCCGGUGACAGGUGCUGCAUGGCUGUCGUCAGCUCGUGUCGUGAGAUGUUGGGUUAAGUCCCGCAACGAGCGCAACCCUUGUCUUUAGUUGCCAUCAUUAAGUUGGGCACUCUAAAGAGACUGCCGGUGUCAAACCGGAGGAAGGUGGGAUGACGUCAAGUCCUCAUGGCCUUUAUGACCAGGGCUACACACGUACUACAAUGGCAGGUACAAAGGGCAGCCACUUAGCGAUAAGGAGCGAAUCCCGUAAAACCUGUCUCAGUUCGGAUUGCAGGCUGCAAUUCGCCUGCAUGAAGUCGGAAUCGCUAGUAAUCGCAGGUCAGCAUACUGCGGUGAAUACGUUCCCGGGCCUU